rnacentral:lncRNA from 1 species
GAUGCGCAGGUCGGCGUGUGUUAUGGCAGAGUCGGUGACGGUUUGCCGUCACAACAAGACGUCGUCAACCUCUACCGGCGCAACGGCAUAACCAGAAUGCGAAUUUAUGGUCCAGAUCAAGCCACUCUUCAAGCCCUAAAAGGAACCAAUAUCGAACUCAUGAUCGGCGUUCCUAAUGAUGCUCUGCAAUCCCUCAAUGAUCAAGGUGUCGCAAAUACAUGGGUCAGAAACAACAUCCAAAAUUACCCCGAUGUCAACUUCAAAUACAUCGCCGUUGGAAAUGAAGUCGAUCCAAACAACGGGGAUAGUCGAUUCGUUAAUUUUGUACUUCCAGCAAUGCGAAAUGUUCAAAACGCCAUUAACGCCGCUGGCCUGCGGAACCAGAUCAAGGUGUCGACGGCAACCUAUACUGGUCUGUUAGGCGUCUCCUAUCCACCAAGCAAUGGCGCCUUUCGUAACAAUGUACAAGGGUUUAUGGAACCGAUAAUCAGAUUUCUUGCCGGAAACAACUCUCCAAUGCUUGCCAACAUCUACCCCUACUUUGCCAACCCUAUUUCCAAUCUCCCGUAUGCGUUGUUUACAGCGCCAGGAACAGUUGUGACAGAUCCUAAUAAUGGUCUACAAUACUCUAACAUUUUUGAUGCCAUGUUAGAUGCUCACUAUGCAGCUCAAGCGCGUCUUGGUGGGGGGAAUGUGCAGAUUGUUGUGUCGGAGAGUGGUUGGCCGUCGGCAGGCGGGAAUGCAGCGACAGUAGAGAACGCUGGAACUUACUAUAGGAACUUGAUUAGGCAUGUCAGAGGAACAACGGGGACACCGGCGAAGCCUGGAAGGUCUAUAGAGACGUAUUUGUUUGCAAUGUUCGAUGAAAACAGGAAACCUGGUGAAGAGUCGGAAAAACAUUUUGGGAUUUUCUCCCCUGGUCAACAACCUAAAUAUCAAUUGAGCUUCAAUUAAGGAAAAGUAAAAAACGCCAUUUCUGAAGCUAUGAAGAAUAUUCCAUACAUAAAAUAAAGUGGUUUUCCACUGCUUAAUAAAGUGAUGAUGAAGUAAAGAUGCUUAAUUAUCUUUGAUGUUGUUUUUGGUAUCGUUUUGAUAGGGAGUUUAAAUAUAUGUAUUGAAUAGGGGACCAACUUUGUUGUACUUGUAUCCAAUAUCUAAAUAAAAACUUUGUUAAAUAUAUAUUUAGCUAGAACUAAAACCUUAAACCCUCUCAUCAUCUACCUCAUAACCAAUUUGGCAAACAAAAACAGUUUGUCUAACCACCUAUUCCGACAUUCCCGUUUGUUUUGUUGGAUUAUAGGAAAGGAUGAUAUCUUUGACGAUUGUUGGGCAUAAAUUUUUUCAUAUUGUGUCACAUCCCUCUCUUAGCCAUCCCGAUCGAAGACCUCAGGAUUUAAAUUGGGUCAUCUAUAAGGAGGUGUUUACCAAGCAUGCAUGAAGCAUAUUUAUGAUUUUUCAUCUCUUUAUCGAUUAGGCAAUCAUGUAUGAUGUAUCGACAACAUAUUAGCAAAAUAUAAUGAUUUAAUAUAUGGUCUUUUCAAAACAUGUAACUUUAUUAUAUGAAAUUGGGUUAACCACUAGUAUAGAAGAGGUUUAAUGAUGCACUUAAAAUUAUUAGUUGAUACGGUUAUUAAACCAUACCAACAAAUACAUCAUCAGAAACUAACAUUAUUUGUUGAUGUGGCACACAAACCGAAUAAGAAAAUAUUGUAAACCGCUCUAUAAAAUAAAGUAGUGUUUUUCCAUGUUUUGACAAACAAGUAUAAUUGGAUAUAAAAUCAUUUUGCAACAAAUGAUACUCUAUUUCUUCAGUACAAUUAAACGUUUUAAAGUUUUUACAAACGUUACAAGGACAACAAAUCAAUCCACUUCCAUUAUUCAUGCGAUUUGCUUUGGCAACCCUAAUAAAAGUUCGAACACCCUAUAUAUAAAAUUCAGAAAAACGUAAAGUUUUGUACAUCCAAUAAUCACAAUUCAUAUGAAAAUACAAAUAAACAAACAAAGAAUGCAAAUAUAUCGAUUUUAAACAAACAAGUUAUGUAAAUUUUAACAUGUUAAUAAUCAACAAAAAUCAAUUUAAAAAAUAACAAUAAACACUCAUUUAAUAAAUAAAUAAAUAUGUAGAAUAAAAUCAAAAGUACAUUAAAAUUAAAAUUACCUUUAGUGAAGACAUCCAAAUAAUUAAUAAGGAUAUUUUGAGAUUUUAUGCAUUUAUGUUGAAGAGAAACUCCAUCAAGAAGAAGUAUGUUUUUGUUUACAGAAACCCUAAACGGAUAUAGCUAGGUUUUAGUUGAUACGCUCUUAGAAAUAGCACCAAAAAAUCAAAAUUUAAUGAUGCGUUUUAUAAAAUAGAGCAUCAAAAAAAUUGUAAUUUAAUGAUGUCAUAACAACACGUCGCACCAAAAAAUCAUUUCUAAUAUUAAUUCUUUGUGAACCGCACUAACAAAUGUACUAGGAGUUCACUUUCCGUGUUUUUUUUUUUUGUAAUGAGGUUCUAUUGUUUUUUUAAUGUUACAACCAUUUCCUAAUGCGGUUUUUCCAAUAAGAAACCGCCUUAAAAAAAAUAAUGCUUCACACUAUAAAUUACCUAAUAUAUUAGUGAUCAACCCGUACAUUUAUUAAAUACUUUCAACAAGGCCGGUCCUGUGGAUUAAAAUUAUCCUCAAAUGUUCAUGAAGAGCCAGAAAAAAUGUUCUUAUCACUGUUAUAAGUUUUUUAAACAUUAUAUAUAUAUAUAUAUAUANNNNNNNNNNNNNNNNNNUUAAAAUUGCGACCCAAAAAUAAUUAGAGCCAUCCUAAAUGAAGGCCGUAAGAUUUGAAAUUGGGUCCUCUAUAUGGAGUUUGCAUGAAGCAUAUUUAUCAAUUUUCAUAUUUUUAUAGAUAGGACAAUGCAUAGACAAGAUAUUAGCAAAAUAUAUUGUUUUAAUAUAUCAGCUCUUCAAAAUGGGUAAUUUUUAAUGUUUAAAUGGGUUACUUUUACACUUAUUAAAAACUCUAAUACUUUGUGGUACUAUCGAUUAUGCGAAGAGUUGGCCUCUUCGCAGUGAUAAGUGGUGGUGAUAGGUAAUCAGAAUCUUGUUGCAGGAAAUGAAAAGGGUGGGGAGGGGGAGUAUAUUUGUUUUACUAUUUGUUUUUUUAUAAAAUUUUAAACUAAUAAAAAAAUAUAUAAAUGGAAAAAAAUUAUUAAAGGUAAAAUAAUUAUUUUAUGUAAAUAAGGACUAACGACUAAGCGUGCAAAAAAAAAAGUUUUAAUUUUUAAAAAUGAUUAUUAAACCUGCAUUUUGACACAUGCACGAAGACAAAUGACGUAAUUUAUCUAAACUUUUAAUUAAUUGGAACAUAUAGAUAGAGAUGAUUUGAUCAUCUCAAAUUCCGACUUCGAAUCAUUAUCAACGAUUUUGAUUUUAAAAGUAUAUAUGUUCAUAACACUAUUAGCGAAAUGUUCGAGAUAGGUUGAAAUAAAUACAUCAAUCGACUAAAAGACUUUUCUAUGCGAAAGUUUAUUUAAAGAUAAUACAAAUUAUCAGUGAGUUAAUUUUAGUCUCUUAAGAUGAACAUAAAAUACUUUAAUCAUUAAUAAGAUACCACAUAGAUAAAUAUAUACGCAUGUAUCUAUAUAUCAUACAAUUAUACUAUUCGCUAGAUACAUAUAUUAUCGAAUACACAGUUUAACCGGGUCUUUCCCGAAUUCGAAGGAAGAUAUGUAUUCAAAUUCAAAUGGAUUAUUCCAGUGAAUCUUUAUCCAAAUCCGACCCGCAACUAACCAAUUCGUUUCAGAUUACUUGUCCUUGUGUAUUAAUUCCAGGAAUCCGAAUGUGCUAAAACUCUGGUGAAACACGUAAGAACAAAUUAUUUUGACACAAAUUGUGGGCUUUUCUUUCUGCCCCUCAGUUACAAUUUACAAACACAACAACAUGAGUCGGACUCUCGGUAGUCUCCAAAGACAUGGGCUCAGCGGAAUGCAGCUACGUUAAAUAUAAGAUACUAGUCUUAUGUCAUUUAUUUUAAGAAGAUGAUCCAACCAACCAUGAUGCAGUAAGACAAGCUUAGUACAACCCCCAUAGCGGCAUAGUACGAGUCUAUUUUGGCAACUGUAAACCUCAUAUUUAAUUUCUUUAUUGGUUAGUCAAUAUUGGUAUUAUACAGAAGGUCCUCUCAACAAUUGAAACCGUUCUUUUCAGUCACAUACUGCAUAUCUUCAAUUUUGUUGUUGAUUAAUAGUGUUGCAUAUCUUCAAUUAUUUUUUGAUUAAUAGUGUCGCUUACAAAUUUUACAACAAGCCGAAUAAGCUCUUCGCAUUAUAUCUACAGGUCAAAAUAAAAGGGCACCUGCUGCCUCUGUCUCUUCGCUCCUGAUUUAUCAAACACAGCCAGUGCUAACUUUAUCAUCGGGGUGUACACUUGCGUUCCGACCCGAGAAUACGACUAACCGAUUCGUUUCAGAAGAUACUUGAGCCAAGAUGAGAGCUAUGUUGUAGCCUCAUACUACACCGUGGAUCCAGGUACUCAUCGAUCAAUCAUUUUAUCCAUUUUAUCCAUUUAUAUAAUGUACAUAAUAUAUAUAUAUAUAUNNNNNNNNNNNNNNNNNNNNNNNNNNNNNNNNNNNNNNNNNNNNNNNNNNNNNNNNNNNNNNNNNNNUAUAUAUAUAUAUAAAGUAAAUCCCAAGGGAAAUAGAGAAAUCAGCAUUCGUGAACUACAAGAAUUCAAGCCAAUUUCGAAUUUUUGUGUUAACAAAACAAAUUAUGUUUACCUGUGGACGGCGAUGUGGGUGGCGACAGGAGAUGGAGAAGCACCGAUGUUGGUUAUGGAGCAGUACCGAUGGUGGUCAUGAACUAUAGCAGUAAGUGGAUGAAGCAUCGUUGGUCGACUGGUCAUACGAUGAUCGAUGAAGCAUGAUGAAGCCGAGAUGGAUCGACGAUGGAGAGGAGGAGCGUCGAUAGAAGGUUCGCCGCCACAGAUGGAGCAGCGAUGGUGAAAGCUUGCCUCGCCUGAGAUGGAGCAGCAUCGACGAUGGAAGGAGGCAAGGGAACGGAGAUGGAUUUGAAGCAAGGAACGACGGUGAAUAGUGCGUUCGCGAGAAGACGAUAGAUAGAUGAUGAGUUAGGUUAGGUUAGUGUCGGGUGGAAGAUUGAGGAAGACACGUUUAUUUAUUUAGGUUAAAAGUCAAUACUAUGAUUAUAGGGAUUAUUUUUGAAAGUUACUAAACAAAUUACUAAAUUACCCUUAUUUAUUUAUUUAAUUAUUUAAUUUUGAUUGGUCCACAUUUAAGCAUAUAAUAACACAAUAACUACUUUAAAUAAUNNNNNNNNNNNNNNNNNNNNNNNNNNNNNCAAUAGAGAAUCAUAAUUAACCAAGAAACCAAUUGUGAACGUCAGAAAUCAUAACGAUCAACGGCCAAGGAAAUAGAUGUACACUUUUACAUUGGACGCACACACCAGAUUAUACCAAAAAAAUCCACCCUUGACAAAAAAACCACCACUUUUUUUUGUUUAAAAAUUUUUUUAGGCCAUGUUUUUUAUCGAAAAAAAAAACGAAUAUACCAUUGUUCACGAUUUUUCGUCAUUUUCCCAUAGAGAUCCAUGAUGAUAUAUAAAAAACGAACUUUUUUUUCAAAAAAAACUCACUUCAUUUUCUUUGAUGAAAAAAGUUAAGGUCUAUUUUUUAUUGAAAAAAAAUUUAAUAAAUAUAUCAAAAUUCAUAUUUUUUGUACUUUUUAAACAUAGAUUCAUAUUCAUGUUUAAAAAAAUGAUAUUUAAGUUCAGAUUCACAUUGUGAACAUGUUCAGAUUCAUAUUGUAAACCUGUUCAGAUUCACAUUGUGAAUCUCCUCGGAUUCACAGUGUGCAUAAUAAUAAGUCAGAUUCACAGUGUGAAUCUGAACUGAUCGGAGCUUUUUCACAUUGUGAAUGUUAAAAUUUGAAAUAUUUACAGUUUAGAUUCACAGUGUGAAUCUACACUGAUCGAGGUUUUUUUUUGUGAACCUUCUCAGAUUCACAAUGUGCAUAAUAAUAAUUCAGAUUCACAAUGUGUAUCUGAACUGUUCGAGAUUUUUCAUAUUGUGAAUGUUAAAAAUUGAAAUAUUUAUAGUUUAGAUUCACAAUGUGAAUUUACACUGUUCGAGUUUUUUUUAAUCGGUGUUGAUAUUUAUUAAUAGAGUACACAAAAUUAAUAUUUUUGGCAUAAUUAGUUUUUUUUUUUGAUAAAAAUAAACUUAAAUAUUGAAAAAACUAAGAAAAUUAAGUGGGUAAUUUAUAAAAAAAAAAAGUUGGUUUUUUAUAUCAUCAUGGAUCUCUAUGGAAAGAGGACGAAAAAUCGUGAACAACGGUAUAUUCGGUUAUUUUUUUCGAUAAAAAAUUUGGCCUAAAAAAAUUAAAAAUGAAAAAAAAAAAGUGGGUUUUGUUAUAAUCCGGUAUAUGUGCGUCCAUUAUAAAAGUUUACAACCCUUCCUUUUGCUUAGCAUUCUAAGUUUAAGUCUAGAAAUCAUAUAAAUUCCUAGUUCGCUUAAACUUAAUGGUUUGAUACCAACUGUGUCAUCCCCAAUUUCACGGUCAGAAAAGACUGAUUUCUUUAUGCUUAUUUAAAAAUCAUAUUAUCCUUUUUGAGGAUUAACAUUGCAGAAUUUGUUUCCAGAAAACAUGAUAAUGAUAUUAUCAAAUCAUUUCUGAUGAAAUGUAUUUUAUUUAUAUUAAAACAUUGAGAUUUCAUUGUCAAUACAGAAACGUAAGCAUAACGAAAUAUUACAAGCCUUAAAAUAAUUAAACAAGUGGCAUAAUACUCCUUGAAUCUCUCAGCAGAAUGUAUUUUUAAUAUCACCACCUGUGAUACAAUAAACUGAGUGGGUCGGGUUGGCAAACUUGGUGAGUACAUAGAGUUUUCAACUCAUAAUAUUAUAAUCAAUAUGUUUAAUCAUCAACCAAUUAACCCAAUGUCCCAUCCCCAUUAUCUUCUUUAUUUUUAAGUAUCUACCCUAAGGAUCAUCUAUGUUGAUAGUACUAGUUCAUGGAUUCAUCCAUGGUACUUGUCAGUAUAUAUUCUUCUAUAUUUAUUCUUAAGGAUUUGUCAUAAGGAAUAGGCACAAAGUCCAUUGCGCUAUCAGGGUUUAUCUAAUAGACACUAAGUCCAUAGUUGUCAGUGUUUAUCUAUGAUGUGUAUAUAAAUGCACGGGUUUUAGUCCUACUUUUGAGAUGAAAUUUAAACACACAAAGGCAGUAAACCUGUCUAUUAGUGAUAUAGUUGAAUAAGUAGGGUAUCGAACACAGGGAACGGAAAAUUAAACUAAUAUCUAGAAUUAACUAAGCAAAUAGAUUAAGUAAAAUGUUUUCUCUAGUUUUUCAAGACUAGAAACUUUGACAAACUAUCUAACACGCAAUUUAAACAACUAACAGCUAAAACAAGUAAAAACCAACUAAAUUCAGUAAUCAAAAGGGGUUUCUGUUUAAGUUCGAUUCAUUUACUCAUAUGGUUAAUUUUAUGUCAAUGCAAUGGAUUAAUUGUUAUUGCUUACCGACUAAGGUGAUUAGAUUCACAUUCGCUAUUACCAAUCCUUAGAAAAUAAAUUAAUUUAAGUAGUGAUCAAGUAAUUAAACUAAUAAAUUCCCUAGUUUAAUUAUUCGGAUAAAAUAAGACUUGUAAUUAGUUAAUCAAAUUAAUAAUUCAAUUAACCUCUUUUUGAUGGUUUAUCACACAAAAGCUCACACAUUAAUUUACUCAUUCUCUAGUUAAUCCUAGUUUCACAUUCAUUAUUCCUAGGCAUAUAACAAUGUUUUCACAUAAAUCAUAUAAGGUAAGCAAUUAAGAGAUGUUCAUGCAGCCAAAUUACUUGACAAUUAACAGAAAAUAGUUAUGGUUAAUGCAUAAGGGUCUUUAACAAGCUUAAUUUAACAAAGUUCACCAAAUAAAAAUCAAUUCAAACAUAAAUUAAUCCAUAAGAGCAAACUUAUCUACCCUAAAUAGAAACUAACGAAAUUAGUUCAUAAUUACAGCAAAUAAAUACCUAAACACGAAUUCAAUCAAACCAAACAUAGUUCUAAUCAAGAAUAAAGUGGAAAAGUAAACUUAUGUUGCCUUAAUCUUCUUAGAAUUGAGGAUUAGGUUUCUUCACGAUUUCCAAGGCUCCAGAUGUAUUCUUGGUCACAAGGUAACUCCACUAGGAUUCUCUAACCAACCUCAAUUUGGGAAUGUGACUUCUAUUUAUAAUUUUCGGAAAACAGGGGCUACUCGUCGAGUAGAGAACUGACUAGCCGAGUCCCCCUUAUGGAAUCCGUAUACGGCAAGGACUUUACGUAUUGCUUCACGAACCUUCAUGGGUACUCGUCGAGUAGACGUCCUUACUCGUCGAGUGGCUUCAGAAUUGGACUCUUUUCUUCUCUCUUUAGUUCCCGAGCUUCCGAUCGCCUCUCCUGCUUCCUUUUUACUUCCGAGCAUAUCUUUUGGACUGAAAAUACAAUUUAAACACUAUUAAGUACCUUUUGUCCGUAAUUUGCAAAUAAUUAGCUAAUAAAUAAUAAAAAUCUAUACUAAAUAUAUAGCUAAAUAUGCACAUAUUAGUAUAUUAGGCACUAAGUCCAUAGUUGACAGUGUUUAUCUAUUAGGCACUAUGUUCAUAGCUUCCAGGCUUUAUCUUCUUUAUUGACGGUAUUAUUUUAGGGAGUCCACUUACAGUACAUUUCAAUCAGUUUUUAGAUUAUAUUUGAUGAACACAUGGUUCACAAACACCUACAGGUUGCGAGCAUGCUAGCAUUCCACUAGUUUGUCUAGAAUAGUUUGUGGUUGUCAUCUCUGCUAAAUGACAUCAUCUUUAAAGUCAAGGCCUCUCAUUAUCUAUUUCAUCUUUCAUCUAUCAUCAUCUAUAUCAGCUUUCAUCUACCCAUCUUUACCAAAUAUAUUUAUUGGUAUAAAAAUACAUAUAAAUUUUAAAUCAAGUAAAACAUGUAUAAAUCGUUCAUCUAGCAUAUAUAUCAGGAACACGGAUAAUAGGAACAUGUAGCAUGUAAUUAUCUUAAAUUCAUCAUAUCUAUGUGUAAGAUUGAAGUAAAUAUGCACUCACUUAUUAAAGUGACGACUCGAAAUUCGGAUAUCGCUUCGCUUCUAGCAACUGUCUUUUACUUUGACGUAACCUAGUAUUAUUAUCACUAAGUCUUAGUCUAAUAUUUAUCGUGACUAAUUAUUAGUCUAGAUCCAUCAUUGAUUCAAAUUCUACGGAUCUAUAGCUUAUAAGGGUCAACCAGGUAGGAUCAUAUCGGAGGUAGGGUCCGUUUGGUAUACAAAGUAUACUGUUUGGAAAUCUCACUUUAAACACCUCACUAAAUCCAGCCUAGACAUCCUCCAUGUAAGUAGAUAAAUCAAUAUAAUGACUUGGAAUCAUUGAUAAAUCUUUUUAUAUGUUCAUAAUAAUUAUAAUGAAUUUAAACAUAAGUUAUACUUAAAGCACGGUAAGCAUAACUCAACUUACAAGUGGUUUAGUGAGAAACCAGACUCUGCCCGGACAGAACUUCUAAACCAAAAGCUCUAUUUCUCAAGGCUUUCUGGCACUCUGCAGCUUCGCUACUAACACUUAGGAAGUGCUAGAGAAAGGAAUUGAGGCCAUUGGGGUAGGGGGCUUGUGAGAGAAUAGAAUGGAGAUGUGUAAGGAAAAGAGUGAAAUUCGCUUCUAUUUAUAGGUUGAAAUAUGCCCAGUAUGUUGGGUGUACACAACAUUAUGCUGGACGUAAUGGGUUAAAUAGGGUUAUGUUGGGCAUACAUAAGAAUUAUGUUGGGCGUAAUUGCCACAUGCCAUCUUCUAGUGACAAGCCGUGGGAAGGAAGUGAGUGCACCAAAUCGCGAUACGUGUCACACCGAGGUUAAUCCAAAAAUUAAUUAUCUUGUAAAAUUCAUAACUUCGUAUACGAGCUCCAUUUUUAGAUGUUUUUAUAUCCACACAUAGCUAUCGACAAGAUAUACAACUUUAGUUUAGACUCCGUCGGCUAAUUUUGACUUUAUUUUUAAAGUUAUAUUUUAACAGUCCUAGACAGUUGAAGUCCGUUAAAAAUCCAUAACUUUGUCAUCCGACGUCCGUUUUCGACUGUCUAUAUAUCAUUCAUCUCUUAUUGACGAAAUCUUCAAUUCUCAUUUAGAUUGUGUUAGCUAAUAAUUGAUCGAUCUAAAAUUCGAUUUCCGAGUUGUACACUGUUACGCUGAAUCUUAGAAAAAUCAUAACUUCCUCAAAUGAAGUCAGAUUUGGACAUUCUCUAUAUGCACGCUCUCGGUUUAAUGACUUCUAUGAAUUUUAUUUUAUAUUACUAAGGCUAAAAAGUAAUUUAUCAAAAAUUUACUUUUUACGAUAUGCAUAUAUGUUCCGGUUUAUUCGUGAAACUUCAAUGGGUCAUAACUUCUUCGUUAUAAGUUAGAUUUCAGUGUUCUUUAUAUGUAUGGAAUCCUUGUGACAUAUAUCAUAACUUUGUUUGAGAUUAUUUAUCCUAAAUAAUAUUCUAUCAAAAAAUAAUUUUUAACAUUUUUUAUCUCUAAAUUGGCUAACCCGAAUCUAUGGGCGUUACAUCAUACUAAUGUGAACUCAUUAUUUCAUGAAUAUGUUAACUUGCAUGCUGCAAAGGUUAAAUAAUCUCAUAGUGAUUUAUUUGACCCUAUUGUGCAGCUCUUGUCUGAGUCCAACCGUUGUAGGGUUGAGUAUUUUACUUGAAGGAUUAUCUAAGCUUUGUUGCACAUGAUUGUAUUCAUGAAGUAUUUAGAUGGAAUUAGUGGGAGUCUUUAGGAACUGAUGGUAGGGUGAGGACAAGGAACCAAGAAGAGCCUAAGAGGUGUCUUAGUAGGUAUGGAUGCGCUGUUCAGCAAGUAUUUAGAGUACCUGAUUGAGAGGGUGACUAGAGGAUUCAGGAUAAUUCUUGAGGAAAGUAUGGAUAGGUGUAGAAGUUAGUAUUGGGCCCGUACUACUGGAAGCACAGAAUCCAUACAUGAAUCAAGGAUGAUCACAGUAAUCUAGGAAGCAUGUAGGAUUAGGACUCUUUGAGUGUGUUCUGAUUAUUGUUUGGUUGCUUUUGAGAAUGGUGAUGAGCACUCGUGGAGGAGGUUUGGGUUCUGAUUCAGGCUCAUGUGUUGGCGUUGAACCGAUUGAUGAGUGGAUGUAGGAGUUCAUCUUGUCGGAGAUCACCCACGGUAUUUUGGAACAAAUUAUUAUGAUCUUUAGUACAAUCAAGGAGGGGAUCAUGGAGAUUAUGCAAGAGCGUCUGAUCGCAUAUCGCACUAAGGUUAUGGAGUUGUUGGAUGAGCGACUCAAGGCUUUUCGGGCUGAGAUUGCGGCAUUAUAGUUGGGAGCACGGACUCCCUCAUUUCGAGAGUUCACGACUUGUAGAGCUCUAGAGUUCCUUGGGUCGAAGGACCCCAUUGCUAGCCACCGAUGGAUCGUUGACAUAUAGAAUGCUCAGUGGGCAAGUUUCUGCCCUGAGGAGGCAAAAUUGGGAUUUGCAUCUUGUCUUUUAAGGGACCAAGCCCAUGAUUAGUAAAAGGAGAUCGGUAGUGCAUUGGGAUCUGUAGCCGUUGUGGCCAUGUCUUCGGAGGAUCUUGCACCAAAAAUUAAGGUGCAGCAGCUGGUAAGGGAAGUUUCAAGACCUUCUUCAGACUACUAAGACUGUGGCAGAUAUCACUGCCAAGUUUUGGGAGAGGGCUUGUUGGUUCUGCAGUAUAUGGUGGACGAGGAGAUGAAGAAGGUGAGGUAUUAUGAUAUGCUGAGAGAUAACAUCAAGGAGUUUAUGAGCUUGUCAAGGUGCAAGACCCUUAAUGAUAUGAUUGCUAGAGCCCAAGAGCAGGAGAUUGAAUUGGAGCACCUUGUGAAGAGGAAUUCAGAGCAGAUUCAGAUUGCAGUGGGCCAAGCGAAGAGGCCCAGGACUCAGGAUUCAUGUCUAUGAAGCCAUAAGGUUUGUGGCCAUUGUGCCAAGUGUGGGAGGACCCAUGAGGGAGACUUACAGAAGACAAGGAGUGGAUGUUUUAAUUAUGGUCAGAUGGGUCAUUUCAGUAGGGAUUUCCCUUAAGGAUCCAUUUCGAUGUGGUUUCAUUCCAAUCAGGUGGGACACAAAAAGACCGAUUGUCUAAGGUUAUUGAGUGGAGCAGCAAGGGCACUUGCUCCAGCUACUUUGAGGAUCACUGGUGGUCGUGAGGGCAGAUCAGAAGCCCCAUCAGUGAGGAGCUGAGCAUUGCAACCUUAAUUGGGAGAGGCUAGAGUUUCAUCAGGUGCUAUCAUGGGUAUGUUAUCUUUUGUUUUCCCAUGCCUUAUUAUUUUUAUAUAUGUGCUUUUGAAUCAUGUGCUUGUAUGUGUAAGGCAUUAUCUUCGGCUUAGUUUCUAUGUAAUUACCUGGUUAACAUUAUCAAAGGUCGUUAUAUGUCAAUCUGCAUGUCGAGAGUUAUGAAUGGGGCAUGUCUUUUUGAGCUAGAUUUAUAUUAUCGAGCACCUUGUUGUGGGCAUCGAUGGAAGCAGUUUAGGGGUACCACUUAGAAGAUCGGUAUUUAGAUUAGCGUGUUAGUUCAGCAUCGGGGUAGAGGGAGUUAUAGAACAAGUAUGUUGGCUUUUGGAAAUUCAAGAUAGAUUUGGGUUGCAGUCGAUUGAUUAGGAUUUAAGUGCAAGAGGGUUGAUGUCGGAUCAUUGUUCUCAGAACGUGAGGGUGGUCCUUACAUCAGAAGCUUGAGGCAAAGAUCUCUUGGAAAUUGGUUGUGCCCCUAUUCGAAUAACAUAGUCAAAGUUCAGAAGUGCUUGCGUCACUCAGUAUGGAUGGAAGUGGUUUAUUGAUGGACUCUCGGGUGUGAUCGUUACCAUUACUAGGAAAGGAGAAGUGACGAGUGGGUAAUGAUGAUGGUCGUGUGGGCUAGAAUUGGCAAGGGAAUUUUGAAUUGUAAUGGUUGAAGAUGUUUAGAAUGCAUAAAUCCUUCAAUAAGUGGGAUGUUGGGAUGGUGAUCCAUCAGCUUCGGUAUAGGGGUUUGUAUUUGUUGUCUUUACUAAGGUUGGCAGGGUGUAGUUAAAUCCAAGUGGAGGAGAACCAUUUGGAUUUCGGGGAUAUAAUCAAGUGCGGAACCAGGAAGAGUUCCAUAUCUUAUUCGAGAUGGAAGCUAGUUCAUGUGGCAAUCUGGAUAGAGGUUGCACAAGGUUGGGGGUUUAGAAACUCUCAACGAUAGGGUGACACAUUCGUAGUGAUUCAUAGUAGAUAUGUGGUUUGAUCCAGGUUGAGGGUUGUGUUAGAGCAUCUCUAAAUGUUCUUAUCUGGUGAGGGCAUUUGGGUUUGAAGCAUGAACCGAACACCUAAUUGGGAUGCAGUCAAUGUAGUUCGACCCAUGUUUGAUUGUGGGUUGGUAUGGUAGAUGGAGAGCAAGACCAUGAGUUGGCUCAUGGAUAAUAUGGGAGUGUUGUAAGACUACAGGGUAACCGUAGCAUACACAAGGAUGAGAGGUUGACAGGGAAGUGUUAUAAGUUUGCGAUGUAGUCACGACAAUCACCAGAAUGAGAUAGGUCAUUAUAGGAGUGGUCAUUGGGCAGAUAAAGGAUCAGAGCAUGCGUUGGUUGAGAUGGACAGUAUUGUAAGAGGAUUUAUCUUGUUUUGGUAUGAGGAUCAUUAGAUCCAAGGCAAGGUUAGGCCUGUGUAGCACUCGUUCGGGUGAGACUCGUGGGUGAGGCCCAUUCAAUUGUGCAGGCUAGGUGAGACCCGUAGGUGAGGCCCAUAGGGUUAUGAUAUAGUGGGUGAGACCUGGUGGAAAUUGGCUUGAGCAAGGUACUAGACCACAUCUAUAGUGGGAUGACUCUGUGUUUAUUGGUUGUUAUCAGUGUGAUGGUUAGGCUACGGUAUCCCUUAUCAGUUAGAUUCUUAGUCGGAGCCUUGUGGUGGGACCAAGUGUGAGAUUGUUAGUCUCUGCGAUUGAUUAAGGAGUUUAUAUCUCAAUUCAGUAGGACGUCAUCAUGGAAUUAGAAGAUUUUGGAUAGAAGCAAGUACGAGUCUUUGAAUUUUGGAAUAUGAGUCAUGUUCUUGGUUGGCACAAAGGGUUAGGAGUAACCUUUUCUUUUAUGAAAGAUCUUUUCAAUAACAAGGUAAGGUAAAGGAUUCUACCUGCUAAGGGUAUCGGUUGGACAAUUUAGGAUCAGUUCAGAUUGCAGAGAGAGGAUCUAUUGAUUGUGUUUUGGAAUGGUUCUGCUUGUGAGGAGGUCAGGUAAAUUUUUGGGGGUUUCGAACUUAUAACAGUGAAAUGUCGGUUUUUCCGCAUUGAAUAAAUUAGUGGAUCAAUAAUUCGUUCUACAUCAAGAUGUAUGAGUGUUGAUAUGAUUGGGUUUCGAUGGUAGCAAUGAAAGGUCGCUAUGAGUAUGAGCCAACUUUUCAUCAAAGCAAGGUUCAAGAGGAAUUGGACAGAUCGUCUAAUCUCCAAGAAGGUAGUAAGGGAGAGUUGUAACAUCCUAUUUCAAGUCGUUUGUGACAUCCCCAUUUUCACGGCCAGAAAAGACCGAUUUUGUUUAUGCUUUAUAAAAAUCAGAGUAUCUCUUUUAAGAAAUAUGUUGCAGAAUUUGUUCCCAGAAAAACAUAAUAAACACGUUAUCAAAGCAUUUCCGAGGAAAUGUAUUUUUAUUCAUUUUAAAACAUUUAGGAUGUCAUCGUCGAUACAAAAACAUAAGAAUAAACAGAACUUACGUUCGUUAUCACUAGUGAUUUAUAUCUCAUUAAUCUCUCAGUGUAAUGUGACUUCAUAUCAACACCUGUGAUAUAAAUAAACUGAGUGGGUCAGGUUGGAAACCUGGUGAAUACAUAGGGAUUUCAAUCCCACAACGUUAUAUCAUAUAUAUAAUUUAGAACUCACACAAUAUACAAUUUCACCAUAUAUGUACAAGCAACUCUUAUCCCACCCCGUCGAUCCUCACANUUCCCCCCCCCCGUCGACCCCCACAACGAGACUAUCCAUACUCUCAAACCUAAGAUUAUCCGUUUUACCUAAUCCAUACUCCUGGAUCAGAAAUGAACGACUUUACCUAAUCCAUACUCUCAGAUUAACGACGAAUGGUUAUGCCUAGUCCAUACUCUCGGACUAGGGAAGAAUGACUAAUCCAUACUCUCGGAUUAAUGACGAAUGAUUGUGCCUAAUCCAUACUCUCGGACUAGGGACGGAUGACUGAUCCAUGCUCUCGGAUUAAUGGCGAAUGACUAUGCCUAAUCCAUACUCUCGGACUAGGGACGAAUGACUAUGUCUAAUCCAUGCUCACGGAUCGAUGACAUAUUCAAAAGUUCUAUUCUUAGAGUAUAACUCACUUGUACUCGUAAGAAAAUACUACCCAAUAUUCCUCAUAAUUAAUUUAUGUUUACUCUUUAUCCUAAAUCAACAUAUAUAAUCAGGUAUGUUCUUUAACACGUAUUUCAGGCAACAUCAAUUCACCUGCACAUAAACAUAUAAUUAAUAUUUCAAUCAAUACUUGUAUUAAAAUCAUGUUCAUGAAAGGGACUAUGCACUCACUUGAAAGGUGGUGACUCAGCACUCGGACAGCGCUUCGAUACUCUCAAAACAAUUUUCCUGCGAUAAAACCUAGUAUCAAUGACACUGGGGUUUAGUCUAACGAUAAAAGCGACAAAUAAAUAGUCUGACUAUUAUUACUAUUAUGUAAGCGUUAAACAAUACUUAUAUAACUCAUAAUAAUAGCCCAAAUAAUUAUUUUAAGGUCCUAAUAAAGUUACUAUAAUUAAUUAGAAGUUAUAUUAAAAAUUGUGUAAGCGUAGCUCACUUACAGCGGAUUUUAAAGAAAACCGGGCUUUGCUUGGAGCAGCGUUUCGAAACCGAAAGACAAUUUUUCUUGGGACUCCGGGAGCCUCGAGGCUUCCUUCGGGUGUUAGUGGGGUUUCCUAGGGUUUUGGGGGGUUAAAAUGGGUUAGAGAGAGAAAGAUUGUAGAGAGAGUGAAUUUUUGGUGUGAAAAAUCGGAUGCCCUCGCACCCCUUUUAUAGGUGCGAGGCUUCGCACUACGCGGGGCGUUCAGCAGGUUAAGCGGGGCGUAACUUCGGAUAAGGUCAGCAUGUGGCAAGCUCCGGAUGGUGCGACGUGGCUUAAGCCGGACCGAGGGAAGGCUUGCGUACACGGCACAUUCCGAGCUCGGACGUUGGGCGUAGCGAGGGGCGACGCGUCCUUCAUCCGAAGCAAGGCGUGAUCAGCAAGCAACGGCUAGGAUCUUGCCACGUCAUCAGUCGAGCAACUGGCUUCGCAAAUUCGAGUCUAAACUUGGAAAAUUCGUAACUUUUGUGUACGAGCUCCAUUAUCGACGUUCUUUAUAUCCACGCGAAGGAGGGAACGUACUCUACAACUUUCGAUCAGACUCUGUCGGCUAAUUUUGACUUUAUUUUAAAAGUUAUACUAUUUAACAGAUCGGGACACGAUUGGUCCAUUAAAAAUUCAUAACUUCUUCAUCCGACGUCCGUUUUCGUCUGUCUUUUUAUCGUUACGCUACAAUUAACGAGAUCUUCGAUUCUCGCUUACGUUGUGUCGGCUAAAAACCGCUCGAUCUAAUAUUCGGAUUUCGGGUUAUACACUACUAAAUAGAAACUUCGAAAAAUCAUAACUUCCUCAUACGAAGUCAGAUUUGGGCGUUCUUUUUAUGAACGCUCUCGGUUUAACGAAUUCUACGACUUUCGUUUAGAUCUCUAAGGCUGAAUAUUGUUUCAUCGCAAAUUCACUAUUUACGCUUCCCAGUGUCGUGCCAGUUCCGUCGCGAAACUUCGACGGGUCAUAACUUCUUCGUUAUAACUCGGAUUUCAGCGUUCUUUAUAUGUACAAAAACCUCAUGACAUAUUCUACAACUUGGUUAAGAUUAUUUAUUCUAAAUAAUUUUUUUUCGAAAAGUCGUUUUCGACACUUAUUGCCUCUAAAUUGUCUAGCCCGGAUCUGCGGGCGUCACAAUUAUCUCCCCCUUAGGAUGAUUACAUCCCGGAAUCAUCAACGAAACAGGUCAGUAUAAUGACUCCAUACGUCACCUCUUCAUCCUAGGUAAUAAUCGUAACUUCUAUGUUUCUUCGAACGAGUAUCUAACUCUAAGACUUCCUGACUGCAGGCGGUGCUUGAUCUUGCACCUGCUCCCUAUCUCAUGUUAGACUCCAAAUUAUGACCUUCAAGUCAUAAUCUCGAUCCUUACUAGGGACUCCUUCUUAUUCUUAACAACUUAAGAUAAUUUGUUUGAUUUCCACAAUAGACCGAUGGAUCAUAUUCCAAUGACUUCUCAUCGUGUGUCGCAACGCUUAGACUUAGGUCUCUUAGAGUCAAAUUCUGGAAUGGAAUACACUUUCCUUCAUGUUCUAAUGUGAUAUAAUCACAUUCUAGCAUGUAGUAUUUCUAGUUACAAGCUUCUUACUUUAACGACGAUUCGCAAUAAUCCUAUUGGUUGCUUCGAUUAUCUUUUAUUUCAAUCUUCCGACUUAAGUCAGAUGUUACAUCAAACUUUGUUCUCUACACCACGUAGCAUAUGCAUCUUAGUCGGACUCGAUUUGAUAUGACCACUAGGUUCGGAAUAACAAUCAUCUUCUUAGUCAUUUCUGAAACGAUGGUAACGACAUACUUGAAUAAAACAGUAUCAUUUACUAGCUUCUUGGUAACCUUGUGACUUUCCCUAAUCCAAGUGCGAGUCAUGUGCUUCCGGUAGUAUAGGCCUCUACUACCAUUCACACCUACUCAUACUCGUCUCAAGUAUUGUCUCACAGUUUUUCCAAGUCACCAUAAAAUAAAAUCACACAACAGCUUAACACAUUGGAUAGCAAAAUGAAGGUUUUUAUAUUAUUCCUUGAAACGAUUACAUAGGUGUUCAAGUUCAACCUAGACUAUGCCUUUAAUAGGCUACACCAUAACAGACUAUCUACAUGGCUUCUUCAUAACUUGAUCUUCAUAUAUCCAUCCUCACUCAUGAUUUCUUGCAUCGUCUGCUGCUUCGUCUAGGAUGAUAUGGAAUGCUCUUGCCUUCGGUUUUGGCGGCACAUUUGGUUUUGCUGCUUCUUAUCUCCUUGGGCAAUCUUGCUUGAAGUGUCCCUCUUCACCACACUUAAAGCAGACUUCUCUCUUGGUUGUGCAUUCGUUGGCAUAAUGACCAGUCUUCCCGCAUUUAAAGCAGGUCAUCUCUUUAGAGCAUUUCCUAAUGUGCUUCUUUCUGUACUUGUCACACCAUUGCGUUCCUUCUUCGAACUUCUUUGAACCAGUCUUCAAGAAUUUUCUCUUUUCGUCGGACCUUGAGGAUCCUUCAAACUUUCUCUUCUCGCCAACCUCCAUCGUGUUGGCGGCUCUUCCCUUGAUCAUAUCUUCAACAUACUUGGCAACCCAGAUAGCUGCUUCCAGAGUAGGUUCCUGACGUACUGGCACCGCAUACUCCCAUGGAAGUCCCUUUGCGUACUUGUCAAUUUUUGUCAGCUCGUCUGGGACAAGGCACAAAGCAAACUCCAUCUUGUCCGUGAAGUUGUUGGUGUAUUCAUCGAUGGUCAUGCUUCUUUUCUUCAAGGUUAGGAAUUGGUUCUCCAACUCAAGAAGGUUGUGGGCUAAACAGUACUUAUGUUUGAAUUGCACCAAAAGCUCUGCCCAAGUCAAUUGCAGGGGCUCACUGGGGCUUAGAGUCUUCCCCAGGGUGUUCCACCAGCGAACAGCGCCUCCUCUGAAUUGACGUACUACAAAUGUGGUUUGUAGCUUGCUUGUGUAACCACAUGUCAUGAAGGCUAAUUCCAUUUCUGAGAUCCAAUCCAUGACUCCGAUCGGAUCUUCCUUCCCAAUGAAAGUCAAUGGCUUGCAAGUUAGAAAAUCUUUGUACUUGCAUCCAUUCCUCUCGACUCUGUCAUCUUGAUUGUUCCUCCUAAUCAUCGGUGGAUCAGCCUAACCAACGGUCCUGCUGUCGUUCCCUUCCUCAGACUGUUUUUCAUUCAACUCGGGUUGUUCAAUAGGCAUCGUAAGUUCCUCUCGAGUUUGUUGAAGUAAACGCCUUGUUUCCUCCAUUUGACGAUCCAACAUCAUCUGGAUCAACGCUUGAACUCCAGCCAUCAGUUUGGCUCAGGAGCGGCUACUACAACAGGUAUUUGUGUUGGAUUAGUGUCUAAGUCCAUAACUAUUUUGGUAUGUACUUGACCCGAUGGUGCAUGGUCCUUUUGGGUUGCCUUCACCAAAGCAACUUGAUAGGAUGAAUUAUGGAGAGAAAGGAUUAAAUAUGAUUUAUUAAUAUAUUAUGGGAAUAAUAUAUUAAAGGAGAAAUCAUAUUGUUUAAUUAAUAUUAGUCAAUAAUUAAUUGGUAAUUAGUUUUGUGACUAAAAGAGAUUAAUUAAACUUAAGGGACUGGAAUUGUAAUUAUAAGAUAAUUGCAAUUUGGGCCAUGGAUUGUCUUAAAUCAAGAGCUGGACGAAUUCUUAUGGGAAGCCCGUAAGGAGAUCGUCCAAGGGCUUGAUUAAAGGAGUCUAUGGGUUGCUUAGGGCUUAAGCAACCAAAUUAGGGUUUCCUUGUUAGAUAACCCUAAUAGCCUCACUAUAUAUAGAACCCUUAAGGCUCAAAAACGUGGGGAACUUCUUUUCUAGGGUUAGAACACGUUUUGGGCAGCCUCCAUCCUCUCUCCUCUUCAUCCUCUUGCUUAUGGUGUUUGUGAACCAUUAGAGGAGUGACACUUGUGACUCUAAGCCUUCCAAAGUCAAUUCAAGGAGGAAUUGGGAUUGUUAUUGCUACAUAACAAUCAAGGUAAUAUCUUAAACCUAAUUAUAUGUUAAUAUUGAUUUCCAUAUGCUAGAAUUAGGGUUUAUAGUCUUGGAUUCAAAGCAUGUACAAUAGAGAAACCUAGAUCCAAGCAUUAGGGUUUGUAUGAGCACAUAGGAUGUCUUAUGACCAAAACCCAUCAGUAGUAUCAGAGCCUAGAUUGGUUUCAAUUGUAUUGAUGCAUUGUAUAACUGGAAAAUUCGUUUUUUGGGUUUCUGGAGGCUGGACUCGCCGAGUCCAUGCCUGAACUCGCCGAGUCCAUGCAGACUCGACGAGUCCAAGCUUGACUCGACGAGUCAACUCGUCAGAUGGAGGGUAUUUCGCGAUUUCUUGCUGUUUUUGCUUAUGGAUAGUUACCUUAUCAUGUUAGAUCAAUAUUAAUCCGAUUAUAUGAUAUAUUUGACUAUAAUUUUGAUCUAAUUGAAGAUAUUUAUCAAUUAAUAAGAUAAUUGUUUCCUUAUAAGAUAAUUGAUUAAUUAUUUUGACUAAAUUGAUAAAUUGUUUUGCAAGAAAUCAUUAAACAAAUCAAAUAUGGAUAAUUAUGUGAUUAAAUGUUAAUUUGAAUUAUUUGUUAUUUGAUCCUUGUUGUUAUGAAAAGUUUCAUAUUUUGCCCUUUAGGUUUUAUAGUUUAAAUUUGAACCCAAAAGUUUUGUUGUUUUGAAAUUUAAAUAGUUGAAACCCUAAUGUUUUGAAAAAGGUUUCAAAACUUGCCCUCAAGUUUUGGAAUUUAAAUUUUGAUUAAAUGGUUUAAUUUUGAUGUAUAUUUAAAUUCUAAACCCUAAUGUGUUGAAAUGUUUCAAAACUUGCCCUCAAGUUUUGGAAUUUAAAAGUUGAUUAAAAGUUUAAUUAGGAAUGUUAAAUUCUAAAACUCUAGUAUAGUUUUGAAAAAGUUCAAAUCACACCCUUAUGGUUUUAUUAAUUAAUUAAGGUGUAUAAUUAAAAGAGGUUUAAUAAAUCCAUAAAAGUUUAGGUUUACAAUUUAAUUGAAUUAAAAGUAUAAUUGUUAAAUUAGACCACCUAGUAUUUUAAAAGUAUAAAAUACACCCUAUACUAUAUAUAUAACAUUAAAGGUAUAACAUUAUAUAUAUGUAUGAGUAAAAGUCAGUCUUACCGUUAGUAGGCCUCAUUCACGAAGCUGGUCUAUAAGGGGUGUUUAAGGAAAUUGCCUAUAAAAUGGCGAUUGAAUGGGUAUCCACUCUUACCCACCGCACUCUUGACUAGUGGAGGGUCGUUAGCCGAACGGGUAGGAUAGGACGAAACCUUCCAUUAUAAGUAUAAUGAAUUAUUAAAGUAACUAAAUGUUUUCAUAAAAUUCCCAAUCUUAGUUACUUAGGCAAAAGUGAAUUGAUGCAAUUCCAUGAAAUUACACUUUGUGCCCUUGCGAAGACGUUAGUGGAGCGUGUGUGGUUUACCGGCACACUAAAUGGUUCUAAGCAAAGGUAGCAAAGGGUGACUCAAUGUUUGUCAUAGUUCGGUGGAGCGUGUGUGGUUUACCGGCACAUCGAAUAGGUGACUGUAACAUGUGAGGGCACCAUGUAAGUUUGCAUGGUUAUUCACACCCGCUUUGUGAUCCUCGGCAUCCCAGUCACAAACAAGAGGGGCAUAUCGAGAUUUAAACAUGCCAUUGAAAGUUCAAUGAAUCUCAAAGGAUCUAGGAGUUUUCAUAGAUUUAAAACUUAAAUUUCUUUUUCGUUUUUCAUGGUGGAAAUUAGUGAAUCGUCAUUCACUUACCUUCAAAUAUUCUGCAAUUAGGGUUACGGCAUCCCUCUCCCGAGUUGUAGAAUAUUGUGUUGGGUCCUAGCCUUAGUAUCUCAUUUGGGUGAUUUACUAAGGACUCAAUCAAUCAACUAACUUGAAUUCGUUUUCUCCCGUUUUGUAGAUGUCAAAGUUCGACAACUAUGGUCUUCCCAAAUCCCGUGGAACAAGCAUUCCACAUGAAGAUGAUAUUCCACGAUUCGAUCGAGGAACAAGAAAUCAUGCUUCACUUCCUCCUCCUCCUCCAAUUAUUCUCCCUAACCCACAAGUUCAAAGGCUUGAAAAGUUCAAGAUCACUCAAGCCCUUUUGGCAAGUAAACAUAAAGAAGGAAAGUCGGUGUGUGCACACGUCCUAGGGAUGAAGUCACACAUUGAUAGGUUAAGAAUGUUGGGAUCCGUUGUCUGUGAGGAAAUGGCUGUUGAUUGGGUUCUUCAGUCACUUCCUAACUCAUAUAGUGAGUUCGUAAGAGAGUACUAUAUGAUGAACCGCGACGUGACCCUUAUAGAUCUCACCUAUAUGCUUAUUGCUGCUGAAUCAGCAAUGGUUUGGCGCAAUAGAAAAGCAAAGUUGAUUGGUGAAUCUGCCUUCAAGACCUCUAUGGAUAUAGACAAUGGCAACGAAAGACAUGCUAUGAUCGAAAAGUUUGAUCAUAAGAGAAAGGCAAUGUCUGAAGUAGUUCCAUGUCAUGUUCCAAAAGAGUCAAUUUGCUUUUAUUGCCAAGAGAAAGGGCAUUGGAGACGAAGCUGCCCCAUUUACCUAAGAGAUCUAAGAGAUGGGAGAGUCGAAACGUAUGGCUCUAAUAUAGGUAAAAUCCAUUAACUAACUCUUUUAAGCUUCUAUUCUAGAUUCUUAAUACAUAAUGUGAUAAGAUUACAAUUGAUGUUUUGUAGGAUCGAAGAAAAGAAAGGAAGCUUAAGGGAAGAAGUGAGCAGAAUCUAACCGUGAAGGAAUGGAUUUCGAUCGCAUUUCUCGAAGAUUAGAUUCUUGAGCUACUACUUAGAGUUAGAAUUAGAUUGCUAAGAAAGAUGUAUUAGCAUAGUUUUUCAAUGAAUUGCAUUGUAAGGACAAAUUUUUUCCGCAAUAAAAUAAAUUUUGAUUUUAUAUUAUUUAUUUAUCCUUGCAAUGGCGUAUAUGAAAAAUUGAUGUUUGAAUGUUUCUAUUAUUAGCAAUAAUGGAUUUGGUUCUUAUUAUGUUAUUUAUGGAAAGUCGAGAGUUUACCAAAUAGGGAGAGUUUCUCAUCGCCCAAGUUUCAAUUGGACAGAAACUUGGAAUCAUGCAACUUGGUUGCACGAUGAAUGAGAAAUUUCAUAUUUGGAAAUUAGACUAAUUCAUUGACAAAGUGUCAAGUGAAGGACUAGGAGAUCGAGUACACAAAGUUGCGUGUUGAUCAAGUCCACCAUAAGAGUAACAAAGAUAUUCGUCAUGAUUUACUAAAGGUUUAGUAAAUAUGAUUAUACUUACAAGAUUAAGUGUAAUUCUGAAUUGAUUGAAAAAGUUUAAAUCAAUAGCAGAACGAAUAAGAAGAAUCAAGUAGGCAGAAAGAUAAAAGUUUCUCCAUUCUAAGAAGAAGGGAGAGUACCUUUUAUGCUUUAUGAUAGGUCUUAAUGAUUAAGAACCAUAUCUCAAUUGAUCCUCUAAGUGAGUCUUAGUACAAUUGUAUGUCUAAGAAGAGGAAUCAAGAAUUGAAGAAAUGGUUAAAUCAAGAAGUCAAUCAUACUUCGUUCCAAAACAAGUCUUAGAGUUAAGAUUGUGACAUUGAGUGAAAAGUAUUAAGAAGGUUUAUAACAUUCAUCAAAUGUGGAAAGUUGUGAUGUCUUGGAUAAGACAAAGACCAACUAGGACCAAUUUAUGAAGAGUUUUGAUAAAAGCUACACUAACUCUUGAAUAUUUGUUUGUCAAGAAAUGUUUAUUGACAAGAGAAUCUUAUAUGUCAAGGAGUCAGUGGGAGUCUUAAUGGUCUUGAAAGGUUUCAAGAACAAAUCAAAUAAACCUUAUCGAUCAUCACUAGCACACGAGUUGAGGUUUACAACCUAUCGUGUUGACAUUAUUUUGUUUCUGUGCCAAUCCAAUCGAGUUAAUUAUGCAUGUGAGUUCUAUGAGUUCUCAUUUUGAACGCAUAAAAGGCAAAGCACCUUAAUCAAUGAAAGGUACAUUGAUAGGAAAGGGUGAGCUGCUUAACUACUUGGAAGACAUGGUGGGCAGCUGUGCUACCAUAAGGCAAGAAAUCAAGAUUAAGAAAGUUCGGUCCAUAUGAGUUUGAAUUUGUCGUAAACUUUGGUUUUAACAAAUUCACAUGGAUAGGAACACAUACACCGUUUAAAUCUAAGUGUCAUAAGAUUUCCUCCUUCAUGAAAAUGAUUGUGAGGAAAUGCUUUCACUAAGAAAGAUUUUAAGAAGAUAGUGAUUGUAAAAUUGCAUUCUCGAAUUCGAUUAUGGUUACGGUAUCCCUUUCCAUAAUUUGAAUUGUGAGGUUUGGCAAUUAGUCUUAAUUGUUUAGACACACAUAUGAACUAUCGAAGGCAAAGGUGUAUAAGUUCAAGAAGCCUUGAUAAAAGAUUAUCAAAGCACUAAGUAUUAGAAACAUGAACUUAAGAAAUUCAAUAAGUAUUGUUUUUCUGAAAGUUAAGAUGUUUAUGAAUACAUGUCGAAGCUAGUGGGAGCAUAAGUGUUAUGUUUUAUAAUAAUCAUCAUGAUAGUGGGAGCAUAAAUGUUAUGAUUGUAUGAUUAUUAAGGAAAGUAUUGCAAGUUGGCAAUAUUAAUUAUAGAAAACAAGAGUUAUACCUUGCAAAGUCGUAAGGGUUGUAAAGUUGUUUUGCUAUAAUUAAGGGAGAGAAUAUUAUGCUUCAUUUCAAAUCUAAAGGAUUAGGUUGAGAAAUGUUAAUAAAUUUAGUCAAAGGUACAUAGUGUGUUCUUAAAAUUUCGAUUAUGAUUACGGCAUUCCUCUUCACAAUUCGAAUUUUGAGAACAUAGCAAAUAAAACAUUAUGCGUCGUGUCCCAUACGCUUCGGGUAUAGGAUCGAUUGCAAAUGCUUUAAUGUUUGACCAUUCUAAAAUUUUCCAAAUGUCGAGCGCAUUUAGAGGGAAAAGGGACUAGAAUUGGUUUUGACUAAAAUAAUUAAACAACUAUCAAAGGACAAUCCAAAGUUCGACGAGGAUUGGUCGCUUGUGAGUAGUUGGAAGUAUAGUAUUGGAAAAUAUGGAAAUGUUUCCAUAUUGGAUGGACCAUAUCGACAUUAUUAUGAAUAGAUAAGAUUCUAUUAAGAAUGAGUUGUCAUAUGGAACAUAUGGAAGUGUGUCCAUAUUGGGAAUUGAAUAUUGAGAAAUCUAUGACUAGAUUAGAAACUUCUAUGCAAAAGGAUGUUCAAAGAAUGUACUUUGAGUGAGAGACAUCACGUCUAUGGAAUUGUCUUGUAACAAUCUCCGAUAGAGGACUUUGUAAUAUCAUUGGCAAUAGUCUUUGUGACUUUGGUGCAGUGACAUUACGAAAGGAUAGUUGCAUAGAAUGUUAGAAUCUAGCAUAUUCUAUAAGUAGCAAGAAUUUGAUAUUCUUUCACUUAUGAAAAAGGGAUUUGGAGUUGUGAAAUGAGAAGGAUUGGAAAUGUGUUCAAUGUGAUCUAUUUCACAAAGUAAGAACCAUAGGUAAACAUUGUGUGCAUGCUAGGAGCAUGGGACAAGUGUUGGAAUUCAAGUAAGAAGUUGAUUACCCGAAACGACAAAUAAUGAGUAAUCAAUAUGGUGAUAAAUAAAAGGUGUUUUAUUUAUACUCAAAGGUUUGAGGCCAUAUGGGAUUAGUAUUAUUCUUGUGUUUCACAUUUGCAUGUUUUGACUUCCAGAAUAAUUGAGUUUAUUAAGAAUAAUCGAAUUAUUCAAACGGGCCACAGUCGUUCAUAUGUUGGAAGUAGAUAUGAAUGAAGACUGUCGUGAAUUGGUGUGUGGAUUGUCUAAAAGAGUAUUAGACAUAAGCAAAUGUUUGCUGCAACGUUCAUGAGUGCUUAUGAAUAUGAUUUGAGCAUUGGAUUAAACCCACGCUCACUUGGAUCACUCCAUGAAUUGUAUCACGAGUGAUUGGUGAGACGAUAACAUCUUAUAUUCUUGAAACCGAGAUGUGUGAGUUGUAUCUUGCAAAUCGGUUGCACAUUGAUAAUAUGUAAACGCACUAGUAACUUGGUGUUAUAAAACAUAUUGUUGUGUGUGAUUCGGUGAGUGAGUGCAAGCAAGCAUUGUAUCAAAGUUUAUCCGUUCCUUUUAUCCAAAGUAGGAUAAAAGCGAUAUCUUUGGGCCCCUCGAUGAUUUAGUGAUGACAAACGUAAAUGCUCGGCCGGGCUAGGGCUAAUUUGAUUUGUUCAAUUAGUCAGUCGUCAUAAAUCGGAAAUCGAGAUAUAGUACAAAGAGAAUGAUUUGAAAUCAUAUCUCAUAUGAUAUCUAGAAUGGAGGAAUAUAUGAUCCCUUAUCUAAGGACACGCGUAUCUGAUAGGAUCAGAGUUGACAGCGGCUUUGGAAAGCUACGAUUGCAGAUCAGGAUCUGAAGUCAUACGCAUAAUAGUUAUUAGACUUAUCCAAGUGGGAGACUGUUGGAUUAGUGUCUAAGUCCAUAACUAUUUUGGUAUGUACUUGACCCGAUGGUGCAUGGUCCUUUUGGGUUGCCUUCACCAAAGCAACUUGAUAGGAUGAAUUAUGGAGAGAAAUGAUUAAAUAUGAUUUAUUAAUAUAUUAUGGGAAUAAUAUAUUAAAGGAGAAAUCGUAUUGUUUAAUUAAUAUUAGUCAAUAAUUAAUUGGUAAUUAGUUUUGUGACUAAAAGAGAUUAAUUAAACUUAAGGGACUGGAAUUGUAAUUAUAAGAUAAUUGCAAUUUGGGCCAUGGAUUGUCUUAAAUCAAGAGGUGGACGAAUUCUUAUGGGAAGCCCAUAAGGAGAUCGUCCAAGGGCUUGAUUAAAGGAGUCUAUGGGUUGCUUAGGGCUUAAGCAACCAAAUUAGGGUUUCCUUGUUAGAUAACCCUAAUAGCCUCACUAUAUAUAGAACCCUUAAGGCUCAAAAACGUGGGGAACUUCUUUUCUAGGGUUAGAACACGUUNCAGCCUCUAUCCUUUCUCCUCUUCAUCCUCUUGCUUAUGGUGUUUAUGAACCAUUAGAGGAGUGACACUUGUGACUCUAAGCCUUCCAAAGUCAAUACAAGGAGAUUUGGGAUUGUUAUUGCUACAUAACAAUCAAGGUAACAUUAUAAACCUAUUCUAAUAUCUAAUAUGAUUACUUGUAUGCUAGAAUUAGGGUUUAUAGUCUUGGAUAACAUGUAUGUACAAUAGAGAAACCUAGAUCCAAGCAUUAGGGUUUGUAUGAGCACAUAGGAUGUUCUUAUGUCCAAAAUCCAUCAAUUUGCUCAAUCACUGGUGGUUGAUUCCUAUUUCCAUUCACAUUCCCAGCUCCACUGUGGGUUCUUUCCAUUUUGAUCUAUUCACCAAUUUAAACGUUCGGUGUGUAGCGAUGAGAAUUUAGAUAAGAAAUAUUUUAUUUAUGAUCGACUUGCAAAUCUCCUUAUCACUUCGAAAAGUUACAUGCCAGUUCUAAUACCGUAAUUAAACGUUUAGAAAUCUGAACACAUAAAGUUUCCAGAUCCGGUCAGCAACAGACCAUAGAUCCGACCAAACAUUUAGCAUCAUAACUCAUUUAGCACAUAAAAGCAUGUUAGGCAUUUUCCCUAAAUAAGCUAGUGCUUGUGUCUAUUCAGGUGUAUUAUCUAAGACACUCCUCACAAUCAUUGCUUAGCAUUCUAAGUUUAAGUCUAGAAAUAAAUCCAUAUUCCUAGUUCGCUUAAACUAAUGCUCUGAUACCAACUGUGACAUCCCCAUUUUCAUGGCCAGAAAAGACCGAUUUUGUUUAUGCUUUAUAAAAAUCAGAGUAUCUCUUUUAAGAAAAAUGUUGCGGAAUUUGUUCCCAGAAAAACAUAAUAAAUACGUUAUCAAAUCAUUUCCGAGGAAAUGUAUUUUUAUUCAUUUUAAAACAUUUAGGAUGUCAUCGUCGAUACAGAAACAUAAGAAUAAACAGAACUUACGUUCGUUAUCACUAGUGAUUUAUAUCUCCUUAAUCUCUCAGUGUAAUGUGACUUCAUAUCAACACCUGUGAUAUAAAUAAACUGAGUGGGUCAGGUUGGGAAACCUGGUGAAUACAUAGGGAUUUCAAUCCCACAAUGUUAUAUCAUAUAUAUAAUUUAGAACUCACACAAUAUACAAUUUCACCAUAUAUGUACAAGCAACUCUUAUCCCACCCCGUCGAUCCUCACAACGAGACUAUCCAUACUCUCAAACCUAAGAUUAUCCGUUUUACUUAAUCCAUACUCCUAGAUCAGAAAUGAACGACUUUACCUAAUCCAUACUCUUAGAUUAACGACGAAUGGUUAUGCCUAGUCCAUACUCUCGGACUAGGGAAGAAUGACUAAUCCAUACUCUUGGAUUAAUGACGAAUGAUUGUGCCUAAUCCAUACUCUCGGACUAGGGACGGAUGACUGAUCCAUGCUCUUGGAUUAAUGGCGAAUGACUAUACCUAAUCCAUACUCUCAGACUAGGGACGAAUGACUAUGUCUAAUCCAUGCUCACGGAUCGAUGACAUAUUCAAAAGUUCUAUUCUCUGAGUAUAACUCACUUGUACUCGUAAGAAUAUACUACCCAAUAUUCCUCAUAAUUAAUUUAGGUUUACUCUUUAUCCUAAAUCAUCAUAUAUAAUCAGGUAUGUUCUUUAACACGUAUUUCAGGCAACAUCAAUUAACCCGCACAUAAACAUAUAAUUAAUACUUUAAUCAAUACUUGAAUUAAAAUCAUGUUCAUGAAAGGGACUAUGCACUCACUUGAAAGGUGGUGACUCAGCACUCGGACAGCGCUUCGAUACUCUCAAAACAAUUUUCCUGCGAUAAAACCUAGUAUCAAUGACACUGGGGUUUAGUCUAACGAUAACCGCGACAAAUUAAUAGUCUGACUAUUAUUACUAUUAUAUAAGUGUUAAACGAUACUUAUAUAACUCAUAAUAAUAGCCCAAAUAAUUAUUUUAAGAUCCUAAUAAUGUUACUAUAAUUAAUUAGAAGCUAUAUUAAAAAUUGCGUAAGCGUAGCUCACUUACAGCGGAUUUUAAAGAAAACCGGGCUUUGCUUGGAGCAGCGUUUCGAAACCGAAAGAGAAUUUUUCUCGGGACUCCGGGAGCCUCGGGGCUUCCUUCGGGUGUCUUCCAAGGGGACUUUGAGUUUGGAUGUUUUGGUCUUAAGCAUUAAGUCCUAAAAUGAUAAAUUGUCACCAAGGGGGUACGUUGGGCGUACAUAUGUGUACGCUCAGCGUAAUGCAUGUCUUCCCGAUUUCAUAUUGUGGAAAGUUGUACCUUAAGCAUCAAUGAGCAGUACGUAGGGUGUACGAAUGUGGUACGUGGGUUAUACUAAAAGGGUUCUCGUUUUGGGCCUUGGGUCUUUUGGAAGUUGGGCCAUGAGUUAUUGGGUCAAAUACGGGAAGCGUAAAAUGGUCUUUUACCCAUGGUAAUGAUAGAGAAUGAAUUAGACCUUGGAUUAUGGGGAAUUAUCUCAAUUUUUGACUACGAAUAAUUUGGUUGUGUUUAGCAUGAGGAAUCUGGUAGCAGCAGCGCGUAUGUUUCGGUUAUUGCGGUUUGAGGAGAGCCUCCUCCUAGUGUUUGGCGGCUCGAAGGCACCAAUGUCGACCCAUGGAUUAUUGUUAUUUGUAUACUAAUUGUCUGUAUGACUCUUACAUGUGUUGUAUGUGUUGUAUGUAUCUCGAGUGGGGCCCGAUGUGUGUAUUGGACGGGGCCCAUCGCAUGUUACUGACAGAUCUAUACUGGCGUAGGGAUAUCAACGGAACCAAAUGGGAGCGGAAAUAGUUGCCCCCGCCCCCGCCCCCGAAAUCAAUUGUUGCCCCCNNNNNNNNNNGCCCUCAGUCCCGCCCCCGUUCCACCGGCUCCCUCAGUUUAUAGGCUUAAAAUUCGAUUUUUUUUGCUAAAAAACUACUUUGUUUUAGGCUAAAGAAAACUAUUUUUAAUAACUUUAAAAGCUUAAAACCUAAUCUUUUAGAAACUAAAAAAUAAAAAAUCCAACAUUAAAAUAGGACAAUUCCAACAAUCUUACAAAUAUAAAAUACGACAAAUCCAACAUUACAAAUAUAAAAUACUUACAUGUCCAAAAAUAUAUGAUCAAUUCGCUACAUCUUCAACAUCCAUUAAUUGGAAACGGGAAAAUGAAACUUACACUAAACCUAAAAUUAGAACAUCUCUUCUGUAUAUGUAUUUUAUAUUAAAUAUAUACUUUUUACAUAAAUAUACAACCGGGGCCCGCGUGGGAGUACGAGACGGAAAUACCGACUCCCGACCCCGGUCCCGAAAAUAAACGGGGUUUAAUUCUGCCCCCGCCCCCGCUCCUGCUCUCGAUUUUUUUUUAAAAUUUAGUCUUGUACGGUAUCGGGGUUCCACAGGGGUUUUUGACAUCCCUAUACCAGGGGGCCCGAUGAAUAUCGGGCGAGGCCCAAUGCUGGGAAGGACCUGAUGGAUGUAUGUAUGUAUGGUAUGUGGUAUUUUGGGGAACUCAUUAUAUUUUGUGCGUACAAUUUAUGAUUAUGGUUUCAGGUACUUUUGGUUCGAAAGGGAAAGAUCCGCUUGAUCGCAGCGUAUCCACCUAUGUUUCCGCAUUUUAUGAUUUUGGGAUUGUACUCUGAUAACUAUUUAUACUUUGAUAUGCUUUUGAAUAGUUGAAAAGGAUAAAUGGUGUUUAAGGUUGAAUUAAAAAUGAAAUUUUAUACCUUAUAAUUUUUAUGAUUUUACAUUGAAGGUUACAAAUCCAUAUUUGUACAAAAGGCUACAAUCAUGUGUAUGGAAUUGAUUAUGUUGAUUGUUUUUCUUCGGUAGCAAAGGUUGUCACAAUAAGGAUUUUACUUGCUAUAUCUACAUCAAAAGGUUGGUUUUUACACCAACUAGACAUCAAUAAUGCAUUUCUGAAUGGUUUUCUUGAAGAAGAGGUGUACUUACUUCCUCCACAAGGUUAUGACAAGGAAAAAAAAGGAAGAAGUAUGCAAAUUAAAAAAAUCACUAUAUGGAUUAGAGCAAGCUAGUAUACAAUGACAAAUUGAAUUUUAAAACAAAUUAUUGAAUUUUGGAUCUCAACAAUCUCCACAUAAUUAUUGCUUGUUUACAAAAGGAGAAGAAAAGGUUUUUGUAUCUCAUGUAGUGUAUGACGAUGAUGUCUUAAACACAGGCCCUAAUGAAGCAUUUAUUACUAAAUUCAAAAAUUAUCUAAAUCAGACCUUUACUAUCAAAGAUCAUGGAGAUGCAAGUUAUUUUAUUGGCAUUGAAUUACUGAAAACUAAGAAAGGUUUUUAUGUUAAUCAAAGGAAAUAUGUUUUAGACAUAUGGUCAGAAGCAGGGUUAACCGACAUUUAAUCCAGUCAUUAAGAACAUGUAACUAUGUUCAGCAGGAGGGAAAAUACUAUAAAAACUAGAGAAUUAUAGAAAAGUAGUUGGAAAGCUUCUUUAUCUUAUUUUACAAGGCCUAAUAUAAGCUAUGAUGUGCAACAAUUUAGCCAAUAUUUGCAUACUCGAACUCAAACACAUUGGAAGGCUGCAAUACAAGUGUUGAAGAAGUUAAAAGAUUGUCCAUCAAAAGGUUUAUUCUUUGAGAAAAAAAUCAUAAAAUUUAGAAAUCACAGCCUAUAGUGAUUAUGAUUUGGGCUACUUGUAAAGACACUAGAAGAUCAUUGACUCGAUAUUGUAUAUUCAUCAGAUCAUCAUUAAUAUCAUGGAGGAAUAUUAAAAAUACGUUUCAUGCCGUUCAAUAUGGGUCGAAAUUAAUACAUAGAAUUCUUGGCCAAAAGACUUUUCAAUGAGUAUUAAUUAACUUGAAGAAUAAGACCACUUAAAGACUCAUCUUGUGGAAAAUUCUUGUUACUUAUUUGUCAGGUAAGGUUACAUUGUCUUAUUAACUAAAAUAAGUUUUAAUUAUUAUAGAUCUAAAUGUAAAAUAGUUACAAUAUAUAUUUAUCAUUCUAUCAAAUUAUCCAAUAAACUUUGACAUAGAAAAAACUUUUAUCAAAUUAUGUAACAAGCUGCAUAAACUUGAUAAAGAAAUGGUAAAAGUAUUAUAGUUUGUUAUUGUUAAGAAAAUAUAACCCAAAAAUUGUACGAAAUAACAAAACCUUAAAAUUGUUGAUAGGGGAUUGUGUUUAACACAGUUUUCUUAAAACAAAUUCGCCUUAUUGUUUUCCAAGAUACAACAGCAAAAAACAAUUCUUCUAGAUUGUUCGGACCCUCGCUUGGCAUGGAUUAUAAGUGUAAGAGAGGAAGAGUGAGUAUUUCGUUUCAUUCGGUGUAUCUAAUCGGUCAUAAAACGAAACCGUAAUUGUCACAAUUAAUCAAGAAAUUAAAACUGAAAUUUAUGAUUAAUAGCUCUUAAUUCGUUUUUGUAAUUGUUAACCCGCAGGACACGUACAUAAAAGUUCAACAGAGGAGAACAAGAAUAUAUAAUCAAUAGGUCGGUUUGAUUUUAUUUAGAAUCCAAAAUUUGUGCUCAAAAAUGGAAAAAAAAUCCAUUUUUGAAAAUUAAUAAAAUUAAUUUUCCAACUGCUAUAUUAUAUAAAAAAAAAAUAUAUACAGAUUACAUUAACCAAUAAAUUAUGAAAAUAUUUGGCAUUUGUUAACAAUCAACUCACUAUUUUACCAUGAAAUUAUCACUUUGACCUUUAGACAUCGUGUUUUAACCAUGAUCUACAUUCCACCCAUUUGUCUUAUUUUCCAAAGUGCCUUGUGGAUUUUGUCCAUUAUAUAUAUGGUUGGAUAUCAACUAAAGAUAUCAAAACCGAAGCCAUGACAACAAUGCUCACAGUACUACUCGGCUUACUUUUAAGUCGUCUCGUAUCCAUAGGUUUUUAUCUUUCUUUUCGUUACAUUCACUGAUAUGAUUUACAUUUUUCAUAUAUGUUUUAUAUAGUAUGGUAUGUUAUUUGUAUCGUUUCCGAAUAAAUGUUAUUCUAAUUUUUUAUGACGUUCAAAAUAUCCACAUGAUAUUCAAAUUUUAGAUAGAAUUUCCAAAAGUAAUUGCUCCGAUUUUGUAUAUUGGAUAUUUAGAGUAUUCGAACAUUCUUUUUCGUUAACGACAUGGAUCACCCGAAUAUAUAUGGUAUCCGAAAUGAGUCAAUCAAAAAUAGUGUUUAAUUCUCGAAUUAUUUUGUACACUAUGACAAUUCGAUGGUAGUUGAAUAUUCUAAUAUGUGUUUUAAAAGUUUAAUUUUGAAAUUUGUUAAUAAUUUUUUUUAUUUUGCGGAACUUCAGAUAAAUGAAUUUGAUACUAAAAGUAUACAUAUUUCUAAUGUGGAUAUUUUUAUUUGUAUGCAUUCAUAGUGUCAAAUAAAUAAGUUCGUGCAAAUUGUUAAUCUAGUUGUCUAAAACCAGUAUGCAAUUUAAUUGUAUACACGACAAAAUAUUAUAAAUUUCAGUAUUUAAUAUUCACAUCUAAAGUUCUAAAUAUCCAAUUUUGAAUAGGAAUACGUGUCUAUAUCUGAAUACAAACGUACCCAUAAUAACUUGUGUUGUGUGUGUUACGAGAAAGAAGAACCAUAUUCUAAUGAUUUUAUUUUUACAGAUGCGCAAGUCGGCGUGUGUUACGGUAGAGAUGGUGACGGUUUGCCGUCACAACAAGACGUUGUAAACCUCUACCGGCGCAACGGCAUAACCAGAAUGCGAAUUUAUGAUCCAGAUCAAGCUACUCUUCGAGCCCUAAAAGGAACCAAUAUCGAACUCAUCAUCGGCGUUCCUAAUGAUGCUCUGCAAUCCCUCAACGAUCAAGGCGCUGCAAACACAUGGGUAAGAAACAACAUCCAAAAUUACCCCGAUGUCAGGUUCAGAUACAUCGCCGUCGGAAACGAAGUCGAUCCAAACAACGG